CCUGCUGGCUCAGAUGGUAAAGAAUCUGCCUGCAAUGCAGAAGACCUGGGUUUGAUCCCUGUAUCAGGA
rfam:Ovis aries breed Texel chromosome 5, whole genome shotgun sequence.